ACGCACGCUGGCGGCGUGCUUAACACAUGCACGUCGAACGGAAAGGCCCUGCUUUUGUGGGGUGCUCGAGUGGCGAACGGGUGAGUAACACGUGAGUAACCUGCCCUUGACUUUGGGAUAACUUCAGGAAACUGGGGCUAAUACCGGAUAGGAGCUCCUGCUGCAUGGUGGGGGUUGGAAAGUUUCGGCGGUUGGGGAUGGACUCGCGGCUUAUCAGCUUGUUGGUGGGGUAGUGGCUUACCAAGGCUUUGACGGGUAGCCGGCCUGAGAGGGUGACCGGCCACAUUGGGACUGAGAUACGGCCCAGACUCCCACGGGAGGCAGCAGUGGGGAAUAUUGCACAAUGGGCGGAAGCCUGAUGCAGCAACGCCGCGUGCGGGAUGACGGCCUUCGGGUUGUAAACCGCUUUCGCCUGUGACGAAGCGUGAGUGACGGUAAUGGGUAAAGAAGCACCGGCUAACUACGUG
rnacentral:rRNA from 1 species